AUUAAAUCCUCAAGAACCAUACAGCUUGAUAUGAGAGUCUUCAAACCUGAGUCGCCAACAAACUUAACCCCCUUUAAAUAUAUACAAAAGGUAAAGAAACCAAUUUUGAUUUCGGAUGAUAAAAGACAACACAAUGGAGAUUUAAAUCCACCAAAGUCGCACAAAAAUAGAACAAGAUAGGCAUCUUAACUCUCUAACGUUUUUUAGAGUCUUUGGAACCUUAGUUAUGAUGCCUUUCUCGCUCUAUACAUGUUCGAAUUUGGUGAAUUUGACUCUCUAAUGUGUUGUAUUUGAUAAUCCAAAUUCAAAAUCGGUUUCUAUACCUUGUGUCAAUGCUAUGUAUUUAGAGAAGGUCAAGUUUGAUGACGAUUCCAUUUUGGAGACUCUCUAAUUAAGUUGUCCUAUUCUUGAGGAUUUAAC